rnacentral:rRNA from 1 species
ACAGCAGCCGCCGCGGGAAUACGGAGGGCGCGAGCGUUACCCGGAUUUACUGGGCGUAAAGGGCGUGUAGGCGGCCUGGGGCGUCCCAUGUGAAAGGCCACGGCUCAACCGUGGAGGAGCGUGGGAUACGCUCAGGCUAGAGGGUGGGAGAGGGUGGUGGAGUUCCCGGAGUAGCGGUGAAAUGCGCAGAUACCAGGAGGAACGCCGAUGGCGAAGGCAGCCACCUGGUCCACUUCUGACGCUGAGGCGCGAAAGCGUGGGGAGCAAACCGGAUUAGAUACCCGAGUAGUCCCUGUCUCUUAUAC